UGCGAUUGUAGGGCCUUGUGUACAGGAUUCGCUCGCACUCACAAAGUUUACGUUUCCAUCCGCGUCUGACUGUCUUGCCAGAGGAGUACCCAUCAGAUGGGAAGCAACCGGGAGUGCAAAUGGCGAAGUAUAAGCACUGGAUGGGCCUGCCCUUUUCGGGAGCCGCGGUCGUCAUGUGGCCAACACAUGCUAAGGUUUUCAUUUGUCGUUUAGCACAUCGUAAGCUAAUGCAGUUUCGUUUAUGUUGCUGGGCUUUGGAGGCAAACAGAGCACGAAGGGGCAAGUACCAUGUCCCCAGGGGGCAGCGGUUUUGCCACUGUUGUGGUCCUAAUAGCCGAAUCGAGGAU
rnacentral:lncRNA from 1 species